rnacentral:rRNA from 1 species
UGUGGAUUUUGUCAGGAAAGGAGCAAUGCGCUAUGAGAGGGGUCCGCGGCUGAUUAGCUAGUUGGUGAGGUAAUGGCUCACCAAGAACACGAUCAGUAGCCGGUCUGAGAGGACGGUCGGCCACACGGGAACUGAGACACGGUCCAGACUCCUACGGGAGGCAGCAGUGGGGAAUUUUUCGCAAUAGGGGGAAACCCUGACAAAGCAAUGCCGCGUGGAUGAUGAAGUAUCUCGGAACGUAAAAUCCUUUCGGCGGGGACGAAACCGCAAGGUUGACGGUACCCGGAGAAGAAGCCCCGGGUAACUCCGUGCCAACAGCCGCGGUAAUACGGGGGGGGCAAGCGUUGUUCGGAAUUACUGGGCGUAAAGGGUGCGUAGGCGAUUUCUAAGUUGGAUGUGAAAACUCUGGGCUCAACCCAGAGACUGCAUGCAAAACUGGAGAGCUUGGGUUCGGAGGAAAGAGCGGAAUUCCUGGUAUAGCGGUGAGAUGCGUAGAUAUCAGGAGGAACACCGGUGGCGAAGGCGGCUCUCUGGACAGACACCGACGCUGAGGCACGAGAGCUAGGGGAGCAAACAGGAUUAGAUACCCUGGUAGUCCUAGCCCUAGGCGAUGGAUACUUGCUGUGAGGGGGAUUGAAACCCUUUGUGGCGAAGCUAACGCAUUAAGUAUCCCGCCUGGGGAGUAC